rnacentral:lncRNA from 1 species
GACCUCAUCAUUGCGGAAAACUCAGAGAGCUCUUUGAUCGCAUAACAGAUCAGGACUGCGAGCUCAGAGAACGGAUUCAGCAGGUUCAACAGGUAAGCAGGUCACACCUCCAAAUGCAUGACAUAUAUUUUAUUUGAAUGUUUUGCAAAUUAAGAAAUU